ACAUACAUGUUAUUAAAACUUGAACUAAUGCAUUGUGAGUCUUAUAAAUUGCUUACAUACCUCACCGAUUUCCCACUGUCUGGAAAACGCUCGGUUUAGUUCCUGUCUCCGCCUCCCAAAAUGUCUAGUGUAAUCGGAUUGGUCAGAUGACUACUCAACUGUUAUUGGUCAACUGGGUUCGGCGUGUGUUUGAAAGGUUACGCCCCUGACUACGCGUGGGUUGACACAGAUUCUGACUGAGAGUCACAGCCUCAGAGGCAUCGUAAACAAGCGUUAUAUUUCUCUAUAAACGAUGGUGUCUGUACUGCCUUACCACUUCGAGCUCGAUCCAGAGAGUUCAGAAGGCCGUUACGAUAUAAACGAUCUCCGUCAAUGAAUGCGAUUGGAUUUAACUUUUUUAGGUGUCCUUAGCUCUGCCAGAAUGCUAAACGAAGACGAAAAUGUGUUGCAAAGACAUCCAAAAGGUUUUAAGGAGAAUGCAACAGGUUCCAGGGCCUCUUACCUGCGUGAUUCAUCAUCCAGGUUUUGCACAAAUUGUCUAAAUCCCUACACACAGAACAUUUAUUGUACCGACUAUAAGCCUUUGAGGCGCAGGACUAGAAUACGCUUGGAGCUUCCUGAUCGGAAUGUUGGCUUCCGACGACCCCUGCACUGAAGAUGGCAUGCAAUCACGUCCUCCUUUGAAGGUCUCUCAAACUGUGAUGCCAGGUCCAUUGGAAUCGGGGUUUCCUUCAGCUUAUC